rnacentral:lncRNA from 1 species
AUGCCCAGGAAUGGACCAAAAAUGACUGCUGGUGUGGGAGCUUCCAGAACUGAAGUCCUCGCUCUUCCUCCCUCCUUACCCACACGGCUGGGUUGUGCUGAGCUCCUCCAGCCCCGCGGGCAGCCUGGGCACGGGGGUGCCAGCCGGCAGGCCCCGAUGAAAUGCCAUUUCACGUGGCAGCUCAGCUCGUGGUCAAAAGCGUUUCUUUAACCAGUCAUUGCAAUGCAUGAAAUACAUACACACUGCAUGUUCUAGUGUGUGCAUUUUGCCUUGGGGCAGCACGAUUGAUCUGGCUAUCUGGGCCCACCUCCC